GACGAACGCUGGCGGCGUGCUUAACACAUGCAAGUCGAACGGAAAGGCCCUGCGUUUGUGGGGUGCUCGAGUGGCGAACGGGGGAGUAAAACGCGAGUAACAUGCCCCUGACUUUGGGAGAACUUCAGGAAACAGGGGCGAAUACCGGAGAGGAGCUCCUGCUGCACGGGGGGGGUUGGAAAGAUUCGGCGGUUGGGGAUGGUUUCGCGGCUUAUCGGCUGGUUGGUGGGGUAGGGGCUUACCAAGGCUUCGACGGGUAGCCCACCUGGGAGGGUGACCGGCCACCUUGGGCCUGCGGUACGCCCCAGACUGCUACGGGCGGCAGCGGUCGGGAAUAUUGCGCAAUGGGCGGACGCCUGUUGUGGCAGCGCUGCGUGCGGAAUGCCGGCCUUCGGGUUAUAAACCGCUUUCGCCUGUGCCGAAGCGUUAGUGACGGUACUGGGUAAGGAAGCACCGGCUAACUACGUG
rnacentral:rRNA from 1 species